rnacentral:rRNA from 1 species
GGUUUGAUUAUGGCUCAGAUUGAACGCUGGCGGAUCAGCACCUGUGCAAGUCGAACGGCAGCACGGACUUCGGUCUGGUGGCGAGUGGCGAACGGGUGGUAAUGUAUCGGAACGUGCUAGUAGCGGGGGAUAACUACGCAGAAAGCGUAGCUAAUACAUACGCCCUUCGGGGAAAGCGGGGGACCUUCGGGCCUCGCACUAUUAGAGCGGCCGAUAUCGGAUUAGCUAGUUGGUGGGGUAACGGCUCGCAGGAAAGGGCGAUCCGUAGCUGGUUUGAAGGACGAUAACCACUGGGACUGAGACACGGCCCAGACUCCUACAGGAGGCAGCAGUGGGGAAUUUCCCGGACAGUGGGGAAACCUGAUCCAGCCAUCCCGCGUGUGCGAUGAAGGCCUUCGGGUUGUAGCUUGCGCAGCGGGAAAGAAACGGCACGGGAUAAUACCCCGUGCAACUGACAGUACCUGCAGAAUAAGCACCGGCUAACUACAGUGCCAGCAGCCGCGGUAAUGCGUAGGGUGCAGGCGUUAAUCGGAAUUACUGGGCGUAAAGCGUGCGCGAGCGGUUCGGAAGAAGAUGUGAAAUCCCAGAGCUUAACUUUGAACUGCAUUUUUAACUACCGAGCUAGAGUGUGUCAGAGGGAGGUGGAAUUCCGCGUGUAGCAGUGAAAUGCACGUAGAUAUGCGGAGGAGCACCGAUGGCGAAGGCAGCCUCCUGGGAUAACACUGACGCUCAUGCACGAAAGCGUGGGAGCAAACAGGAUUAGAUGCCCUGGUGGUCCACGCCCUAAACGUGUCAACUAGCUGUUGGGGCCUUCCGGGCCUUGUGUACAACUAACGCGUGAAGUUGACCGCCUGGGAAUACGGUCGCAAGAUUAAAACUCAAGGAAUUGACGGGGACCCGCACAAGCGGUGGAUGAUGUGGAUUAAUUCGAUGCAACGCAAAAGCCUUACCUACACAUGACAUGUCACCAAGUCCGAAGAGAUUUGGGAGUGCUCAUGAAGAACGGAACACAGGUGCUGCAUGGCUGUCGUCAGCUCGUGUCGUGAGAUGUUGGAUUGAUCCCGCAACAGCGCAACCUUGUCAUUAGUUGCUACGAAAGGGCACUCUAAUGAGACUGCCGAAGUGACAAACCGGAAAGGUGGGGAUGACGUCAAGUCCUCAUGAGCACUAUGGGUAGGGCUUCACACGUCAUACAAUGGUCGGGACAGAGGGUCGCCAACCCGCAGGAGAGCCAAUCCCAGAAACCCGAUCGUAGUCCGGAUCGCGGUCUGCCAGCUCGACUGCGUGAAGUCAGAAUCCGCUAGUAAUCGCGGAUCAGCAUGUCGCGGUGAAUACGAUUCCCGGGUCUUGCUACCACGCCCGUCCACCAUGGGGGUGGUUUUACCAGAAGUAGUUAGCCUAACCGUAAGGAGGGCGAUUACCACGGUAGGAUUCAUGACUGGGGAGGUGAAGUCGUAACAAGGUAA